CACAAGUAGUUCAAUUGGCUUCUGUAUUAUUCAAUAUGAUAAUGUGAGGAGAAGUAGAAAAUCUGUCCCCUAGGUUAAUGUAAGACAAGCCACAGUUACUGAAAGUGGAUUAAUGAUUUCCGGAUUGAAAAAAGUGUUUUGUUCUGUUUUAUACACUAAAGCCCACAUGAAAACAUUUUGCAUUUUGGUAUUUCUGUUGCAGAGAUUCAAAGUUAAAGGGAUUACUGAAAUGUGUCUUUAUUGUUAAUUUUCCCAGGUUUAGAUUUAUGUUAGAGGAUGUGUCAACUGUAAUCAUGAUCAAGCCCUUAACACAUGUUACCUUUUUAUUCUCCCUCUUUUUGCAUUGUUUCUAUCAGGGUUUUGGCAUUUGUUUUCUAGUGUUCAUAAUCCUCUGGAGCAGCCUUAGUUUGAAGUUGUUUUUCUUGAUGAUUGUUAUGGGGAUCUUCAGGAAAAGGAUGUGCAUUUACAACAAAUCUAAGAACAAAUUGCAAUGUAUCAUUUCAUUUUUUAGUCCAGGUUUUGUUAGAAGUCUGAAAAUAAUGGCAGUGCCGUGGCAUGAGCGGAGGGACCGGGAGCACUGCAGUCCAUCCCUCCCAAAACUUCACCAGGUGACAGUGGGUUUCAGCACAUCAAAGCCAAGUGACUUCUGCAGACCACCCCAUGCACAGGACCUUCUCCAGGACACCAGGCUGGGCCUCCUGCCACCCCUGUGCAACACAGAGAAGCAACUGUGGCAGUUGGGACCAUUGCAUCCAGAGAGCAACCUGGAUCUAAAACCCACCUUGAAUGUGGACAGACUCAUUAGUCACCAAGUUUGACCUGAGCCAAGACUGCAAGGUUUGUCUGUGCUGGAGCAUGUAUUUUAGAAGGUCUAAGGGAAAGACCAUUCCUCAGGUAAACAGUUUUAAUGCUGGAAUAUUAGACAUGGCUAUAAAUCAGGUUCUCUCAUACUGUGGGAAAUUCUAGCAUUUUAAAGUAUUUCUCUCCAUGGAGAAUUAAUGUAAUUUAAAAAUGCUGGUUUUGCAACUGACUCUUUUUUUAACUAGUCUUACAGGUCAUCAGGAACAGCUGACAGCAAACAAUAUAUACUGCAAUAUACAGAUACUGUGAUUGACAAUGGAGAUAGUGAUUCCUAGUUUAUAUUUUAAAAUCAUUAAGGUCAUCUGAAAUUUCAUGGCACAUGAAAUAUUUCACACUUUUGGCAGCAUGAAGAUUCUCUGCUGUGUUAUAACAAAAGGAUUUUCCAUUAAUUUAGCAUUUACUCUGUACUGUGUAGCAAAUGUACUUAACAGUUUGAAAAUUAAAAUGAAAAUAGAUUUAAAUGAUUUUUCAUGCUAUAAUGUGAUAGCAGUAGAAUAAUAUAAAAUGAAAAUGCAUAAAUUAACAUCAGAAAAUACAUUUCAGAACAAUUUUGUAAAACAAAUGGUUUCAAAAUAUAUUGCUCUAGGGAUUUCUGUAAGCAACUAGAUAUUUUUCUGUCAAAAGCCCAAACACUUCCAUCCAAAGAAGUUUUUUUUCAACAAGAAGCUGUUUUAAAAAUGUCUUGUCUACUGUAUUAAUUAUCCUCACUGUGAAAAAUUCAGGCCCUAUAUUAAUACUUUUAUUUAUUUAAAUUAAUUAUUAAUUAGUUAGCUUGACCUUCUAGUGCUAAAUCCUGUUAUGCCAUUGUUAAUAAAUUAAAGAACCUUCCAUCCUUUGAAA